rnacentral:lncRNA from 1 species
GCCCAUUCACCUGCCAUGUAUACCACAUAUGAUGCAUCUAUGAUAUGGUUACAUGCGCGAUUGUUAUUAACCUGCAGCCUGGCCGGUGCUUGCGCGGUAAGUUGCUCAGUAAUCUAACUUCGAGCAUAAUUUCCAGAUUGUCUAUUCAAGAUAGUUCAUCUUUGGUUUACAUCAUAGUUGGUUUAGCAAAAUGAUUUAUUGAGUGCCUCCACUGAAUAGCUAAACUAUUGCUUAUGAGAACAAAGUUAUAUAUAUCAGUUUGAUAUACGUUGUAUACNNN